GAGCUGCGGGGAAAGAUGGAUCGGCCCCGGCCGCGGCCGCACCACCCGAAGCCCGGCUCCGCCGCCGCGGGGGCGCCCUACCCCGCCUCCGCCUCGCUCCGCAGCUGCAGGGAAAGCAAGAUGCCGCGCAGGAAGGGCCCCCAGCGCCCUCCGCCCGGCGCCGUCGAGGAGCCUGGAGAGAAACGCCCCAAGUUCCAUUUAAAUAUUAGGACAUUGACGGAUGAUAUGCUGGAUAAAUUUGCCAGCAUAAGAAUUCCAGGGAGCAAGAAGGAGAGACCUCCACUUUCUAACCUGAAGACUGCAUUUGCAAGCAAUGAUUGCUCUUCAGAGGUGAUGGAAAACAUUCCAAAGUCACUGUCAGAGAAUGAAGUCUUAGAACUUUUCGAAAAGAUGAUGGAAGAUAUGAAUUUAAAUGAAGAUAAGAAGGCACCAUUGCGGGAAAAGGACUUCAGCAUCAAAAAAGAAAUGGUGAUGCAGUACAUUAAUACUGCUUCUAAGACAGGAAGUUUUAAGAGUAAGCGCCAGAUCUCACCUCAGGAAUUCAUCCAUGAACUGAAAAUGGGGUCUGCAGAUGAGAGACUUGUAACAUGCCUGGAGUCCCUCCGUGUGUCUUUGACUAGUAAUCCUGUGAGUUGGGUAGAAAGCUUUGGACGCGAGGGGCUUGGAUUAUUACUGGACAUUUUGGAAAGACUGAUUAGUGGCAAAAUACAAGAGAAAAUUGUAAAGAAGAAUCAGCAUAAAGUCAUACAGUGUCUAAAGGCUUUGAUGAAUACACAGUAUGGCUUGGAAAGAAUUAUGAGUGAAGAGAGGAGUCUUUCUCUAUUAGCCAAAGCCAUCGAUCCUGAGCACCCAAGUAUGAUGACAGAUGUGGUGAAACUCCUCUCUGCGGUAUGCAUUGUAGGAGAGGAAAGCAUUCUCGAAGAGGUUUUAGAAGCUUUAACAUCAGCUGGAGAAGAAAGAAAAAUCGACAGAUUUUCAUCCAUUGUGGAAGGUCUCCGGCAUGAUUCAGUUCAACUGCAAGUAGCGUGUAUGCAGCUCAUCAAUGCCCUUGUUACAUCUCCUGAUGAUUUGGACUUCAGGCUUCACAUCAGAAAUGAAUUUAUGCGUUGUGGAUUGAAAGAGAUCUUGCCAGAUUUAAAAUGUAUGAAGAAUGAUAGCCUGGAUAUCCAACUUAAAGUCUUUGAUGAGCAUAAGGAAGAAGAUUUGCUUGAGUUCUCCCAUCGCCUUGAAGAUAUUAGAGCUGAACUUGAUGAAGCAUAUGAUAUUUACAACAUGGUGUGGAACUCAGUUAAGGAAACUAAAGCAGAGGGAUAUUUCAUUUCUAUUCUUCAGCACCUUUUGCUGAUUCGAAAUGAUUAUAGUAUAAGGCAACAGUACUUCAAAUUAAUUGAUGAGUGUAUAUCUCAGAUUGUAUUGCAUAGAGAUGGGAUGGAUCCAGACUUCACAUAUCGGAAAAGACUGGAUUUAGAUUUAAGUCAGUUUGUUGAUACUUGCAUAGAUCAAGCAAAACUAGAAGAGUUUGAAGAGAAAGCGUCAGAACUGCACAAGAAAUUUGAAAAAGAGUUUACCGACCACCAAGAAACUCAGGCUCAAUUGCAGAAAAAAGAAGCAAAGAUUAAUGAACUUCAAGCAGAGUUACAAGCUUUUAAGUCAGAGUUUGGUGCCUUGCCAGCUGGUAGAAAUCACUCUUUGCCACAGUCAAAAGAAAAUGGAACUGGCCCCCCAGCACUUGCUCCUCCCCUGCCACUGCCAUCUUGUGGAGGCAUGCCGCCUCCACCCCCUCCUCCCCCACCUCCUCCGCUUCCAGGAAUGCCAAUGCCUUUUGGUGGUCCCGUGCCUCCUCCACCACCUCCUCUGGGAUUUCUCAGUGGGCGAAACUCUCCUCCUCCACCAACCCUACCAUUUGGGUUAAAACCAAAGAAAGAAUUUAAACCUGAAACCAGCAUGAGAAGAUUGAAUUGGUUAAAGAUCAGACCUCACGAAAUGACUGAAAGCUGUUUCUGGAUCAAAGUAAAUGAAAAUAAGUAUGAAAAUGUGGAUUUGCUCUGUAAACUUGAGAAUACGUUUUGUUGCCAACAAAAAGAGAGAAGAGAAGAAGAAGAUUUUGAAGAAAAGAAAGCUAUUAAGAAAAAAAUUAAAGAGCUUAAAUUUUUAGAUUCUAAAAUUGCCCAGAAUCUUUCCAUCUUCCUGAGCUCUUUUCGGGUGCCAUAUGAGGAAAUCAAAACGAUGAUAUUGGAAGUGGAUGAAACACAGUUGGCAGAGUCUAUGAUUCAGAACCUAAUAAAGCAUCUUCCUGAUCAAGAACAAUUAAGCUCACUGUCUCAGUUCAAGAAUGACUAUAACAACCUAUGUGAACCCGAGCAGUUUGCUGUUGUGAUGAGCAAUGUGAAGAGACUACGGCCACGGCUCAGUGCUAUUCUCUUUAAGCUUCAGUUUGAAGAGCAGGUGAACAACAUCAAACCUGACAUCAUGGCUGUCAGUACUGCCUGCGAGGAGAUAAAGAAGAGCAAAAGCUUCAGCAAGUUGCUGGAACUUGUAUUGCUAAUGGGAAACUACAUGAAUGCUGGCUCCCGGAAUGCUCAAACCUUCGGAUUUAACCUUAGCUCUCUCUGUAAACUAAAGGACACGAAAUCAGCAGAUCAGAAAACAACACUACUUCAUUUUCUGGUGGAAGUAUGUGAAGAAAAGUAUCCUGAUAUCCUGAAUUUUGUGGAUGAUUUGGAACAUUUAGACAAAGCUAGUAAAGUCUCUGUAGAAACGCUGGAAAAGAAUUUGAAGCAGAUGGGAAGGCAGCUUCAACAGCUUGAGAAAGAUUUGGAAACCUUUCCCCCUCCUGAGGACUUGCAUGAUAAGUUUGUGACAAAGAUGUCCAGCUUUGUUAUCAGCGCAAAAGAACAAUAUGAGAAACUUCUAAAGUUACAUGAAAAUAUGGAGAAGUUAUACCAGAGUGUGAUGGGAUACUAUGCCAUUGACGUGAAGAAGAUGUCCGUGGAAGACUUUUUUAAUGACUUGAAUAAUUUCAGAACCACAUUCAUGCAAGCAAGAAAGGAGAACAUCAAAAAAAGAGAAGCAGAGGAAAGGGAAAAACGUGCCCAAAUAGCCAAAGAAUUGGCAGAGAAAGAAAGACUUGAACGCCAACAAAAGAAAAAGCGCUUGUUAGAAAUGAAGACUGAGGGUGAUGAGACAGGAGUGAUGGAUAGUCUGCUGGAGGCUUUGCAGUCGGGCGCUGCCUUCCGCGACCGAAGAAAAAGGACGCCAAAGCCAAAAGAUAUUCGGCAAAGUCUCAGUCCCAUGUCCCAGAGGCCUGUUCUGAAAGUUUGUAACCAUGAUUGUGGUUAUGACAACGUACUUGUAUGCUGAGGGGAAUGAUCACAUGAGGAAGGAAACCUUUCCAAUAGAGGCCACAGCUGUCAGAAGGAUGUCCUUGAAUAGACAAAUGACAGUAGUAUGUGGUGCUCACUGUGCAGUUUACCCAAUUUAAUGUCAUCUUUGCCAUCAAAACUGGAGCUAGAGUCGCCCAGUAGCAGAAUAGCAGCCACUCCAUUGGUGACAUCAUCAUGAUGGAAUCGUUUACAAGAAAUCCAAUGACAAGAAGAGAUAGGAACAUCUGGGGGAAAGGAACAAAAAUCAGAAAGUGCAGUUGACAGAAGGGUCACGUUCACACUACAAUAUCAAUUGCAACUCAACGAGGACUCCAGUCGCCAAGGAGCUUAAUUAUAAUCUAGACACUCAUACGUCUACAGGGAGGAUCAAGGCAGUUG